UACGUAGGGUCCGAGCGUUGUCCGGAAUUAUUGGGCGUAAAGGGCGCGUAGGCGGCCUGCUAAGUCGAUCGUGAAAUCCCCGGGCUUAACCCGGGAACUGCGACCGAUACUGGUUGGCUUGAAUUCGGGAGAGGGAUGCGGAAUUCCAGGUGUAGCGGUGAAAUGCGUAGAUAUCUGGAGGAACACCGGUGGCGAAGGCGGCAUCCUGGACCGGCAUUGACGCUGAGGCGCGAAAGCCAGGGGAGCAAACGGG
rnacentral:rRNA from 1 species